GCCGUCGCUCUUUUUUUUUUUUUUGAAAUGAAAAUGUAUUUAAAUAAACAAGGCCCAUAGGACACACUUACAUAGAAUGGCCCAGAAACAUAAGGUCCAAAGUCAAGCUUAGUACAUCAUAGCCCAAAUAAUAAACUUUUCAGUCCAACCUCUACACCCAGAAAACCCUAAGCAAAAGGUUGAAGACACCCACCUUCAUCACAGUGCCGCG
rnacentral:misc_RNA from 1 species